GCUCUACUAAAAAGAUUCGGCUAGCCAUCACUUCUAAUGUCUGAAGAACUGUGCAGAGGAAGCCAGCAUUCUAGAGUUUAUCUUGAUAUAGUCCAGCUGACAGAGAAAUUUAUACUACAUUCUAACACAGAGCCUGACAAUGAGAUCAUACCUCCUAAAGAAACAAAAGAAGACUUCUCGAAGUGCUUCAUAAAGCAGCAAGAACGAUGGGACAAGUGCG
rnacentral:lncRNA from 1 species